ensembl:misc_RNA Metazoa_SRP Metazoan signal recognition particle RNA
GCUGGGCAUAGUGGCCCAUGCCUGUAAUUCCAGCUACUCAGGAAGCUGAGGCGGGAGAAUCACUUGAACCUGGGAGGCUGAGGUUGCAGUGAGCUGAGAUCAUGCCACUGCACUCCAGCCUGGGCGACAGAGUGAGACUCCGUCUCAA